CAUCUGGAACCUAAAUAGAACACAAAUACACAUAAAUAAACAAGUACCAGUGAGAUGAAGCAUUUCUAGAAAAAAAAAAAAAAAAAGACAACAUUUUGUACAUUCUCACUUGAACUUUGAUGGGGAAUCACUGUUUUCCUACCCCCUCGAAGAAACUUCAGACAUAGCAGGGAAGUGUAUAUUCCAAAUUUCUUUUAUUUAGCAUCUUUCUAUUUCAGAAUGAAGUUAUGGCUUCAAGAAAACAGAACUGAAGUAAUGGGAAGCCCACUGGAACCCUGCCCCUCCAUCCAGCUUUUAUUAGCCACAAAACUGACUUUUUUUUUUUUUUUUUUUUGAGGCAGAGUCUCACUCCGUCACCAGGCUGGAGUGCAGUGGCGCAGUCUUGGCUCACUGCAAGCUCCGCCUCCCAGGUUCACGCCAUUCUCCUGCCUCAGCCUCCUGCGUAGCUGGGACCACAGGCGCCCGCCACCACGCCCAGCUAAUUUUUUAUAUUUUUUAGUAGAGACGGGGUUUCACCGUGUUAGGCAGGAUGGUCUCGAUCUCCUGACCUUGUGAUCCGCCUGCCUUGGCCUCCCAAAGUGCUGGGAUUACAGGCGUGAGCCACCGCGCCCACCCAACAUACUAACAAAUUAAACUAUUUCUAUAUUGAACAGUUUGUGGCCUUUGUCCCAGACUGGUAUUUCUACUAGUUACUCAAACAAUGACACCCUGUUGAGUUUAGUUUAAAAAUACACGCAGAAGUUCAUGAUUAUCUAUAUUACAAGAAUAAAUACAGAAAUCAAAGAAUCUUCCAGCUUACUUGAACUAUAUUAACCAGUUUGCCAUACUGAGUGGUAAGUUGGAUGACUUCAGUGUUUAUUUAUUUAUAAAGUUACAUCUUAAAGUGGCCAGGCACAGUGGCUCACGCCUGUAAUCCCAGCACUUUGGGAGGCCGAGGCAGAUGGAUCACCUGAACUCAGGAGUUUGAGACCAGCCUGGCCAACAUGGCGAAACCCUGUCUCUACUAGAAGUACAAAAAUUAGCUGGACAUGGUGACAUGCGCCUGAAGUCCCAGCUACCUGCGAGGCUCAGGCAGGAGAAUAACUUGUACCCGGAGGCAGAGGUUGCAGUAAGCUGAGAUCAUGCCACUGCACUUCAGUAUGGGCAAUAUAAUGAGACUCUGUCUCUAAAUAAAUAAAUAAAUAAAGUUACAUCUUAGAAUAUUUCAAAAUUCAAAAGUGCAAACCUAUCUGACAGGCCAAAUCUGACCUGGGUUCACUUGCUUUGUGGGCAAGAAACAGCUACCAAGUACACUGUACUUGGUCAAGGCCCUAGAUAGCCCUUGCUAAGCCCUGCUUUCCUGGCUGCCCACUGCGAGGACUAACACGGCUCUCAGCCUCAUGUAGUAUGCCAGCAAAUGAAGGCCCAAGCAGGAGCCACACCUUGUCAAAUCUCCAUGGCAAGUCACUCAAUAAGGCAAUUACAAAAACAGGCUAUAAUUUGUUGGUGACCAUCAAAACAGAACCAGAGAAAAGCUACAUGGAUCCAUACACGAAGGUGGAAAACACUGGCUCCACAUUUGCUAGAAGUGUCAGGAAAAAACAACAACAACAAUUAGACAAAGAUGGCUUUUGCAGGACUUUGUCAACAAACAUGCUGCCAGAUAUUUACUAACAAACAACAUGAUGACAAGCACAUGUUACCUCACUGUCAGAUGUCCUGGUUAAAGUCCCAAUCUAGAACAUAAGGGGAAAAAUCUUUUAGAACAGAAUGUGUACAUUUCAAGCACAAUAGAUCAAACGCUUUUAAUAUUUUCUCCUCUCCGUUCACAGAGCAUUGAGGGUACAGAACUAGAAGAUCAUCCUUGGACUGUCUUUUACUACAAGGACAUGAAGAUAGGUAGCUGCAUUUACUAUUUCUGCCAUGAGGCAGUAACCAAUAAUGAUCAUCACCAAAUCUUCUAUCAAAAUGCUGAUUAGCCAUUCUCACUGAAACCCAACAAAUCAUCUAGGAGAGAAGAGAAGAUCAGCUUUUAACCACAACUUGCCAUUUCUACACCUAUUCCCAAAGCAGUAGCCAAGAAGGGGUAAAGACGUUUUUACGGUGACCAUAAUAAUUAAACAUUCCAAACAGAAAAUGCAAAUAAUAAACACUCUAGUUGAAAGCUCAAAAGGAGAAUAUACUUUUGAUAUAGUUAUUAUGACAUGAGUAAGCAUAAAUUUCAGAUUUAAAUUAAUGAAAACAAAAAUGUAAUUUUAAACACAUUAAAAUGCUACUAGAUUUUUUUCUUUCUAAUUUUUUUUUUAGACACAAGGUCUCCCUCUGUCACCCAGGCUGCAUUACAUUGGUGCAAUCAUAGCUUACUGCAGCGUCAAAUUCCUGGGCUCAAGAGAUCCUCCGUCUCCAGCCUCCUGAGUAGCUGAGAUUACAGGCAUGAGUCACCAUGCCUGGCUGCUGCUAGAUUUUUUAAAAGUUUGUUUCUACAGUUUAAGAUUUCAAAAACAGAUGGUCAUGAUUUCUGAAUUCUGGUUAUUGUUCAAGGUGGUGGGGCAUGUGCUUGGGCACAAUGACAAGGAAACUACUGGAAACUCAGUGUCAAUGGAUUCUGUCAAUAAGAUAUUACACUCAAUGAACAGUUUUUUUUUGUUUGUUUGUUUCUGAGACAGAGUCUCACCCUGUUGCCCAGGCUGGAGUGCAAUGGUGCGACCGAGGCUCACUGCAACCUCCACCUCCCGGGUUCAAGCAAUUCUCCCGCCUCAGCCUCCCGAGUAGUGGGGAUUACAGGUGCACGCCACCACGCCCAGCUAAUUUUUUGUAUCUUUAGUAGAGGCAGGUUUCACCAUGUUGGCCAGGCUGGUCUUGAACUCCUGACCUCGUGAUCUGCCUGCCUCACCCUCCCAAAGUGCUGGGAUUACAGGCAAGAGCCACCGCACCCAGUCAAUAGACAGUUUUAAUGUAUUCUAAAUAAUUUCCUCUGGAGUAUUGUUCUGAACACUGAGAGUAUAUCAACUGAAUGUGUACUAAUGAAUGUUAUGCCCACCUGGCUGUAAAAGAGUCUUUGAUAAGAACUUUUAAAAUAGAAGAGCCAUAAUUUUUCUACUUUAUGAAGUAGAAGUAGCAAUUACUCUCUUUUAGUGAAAAAUUGCUUGGAAUAAUACUCCAAUCAUUUAAUUUUACAUAUUCAAAUAUGACUGCAGUUUAUAAAAUAAACUGCGAGGAAACAUCUAUUCCACCUGCUCAUCCUCACCCCCUUACUCCCGGGUUAUGAUUUGAAAAUGGGUACAGCACCAAGUCCUUCAAAGGAAUGGUACUGUAUAAAUGCAAGGAAAACUUUUUUUUUUUUUUUUGAGACAUAGUCUCGCCCUUUUGCCCAGGCUGGAGUGCAAUGGUGCGAUCCUGACUCACUGCAACCUCCGCCUCCUGGGUUCAAGCAAUUCUCUUGCCUCAGCCUCCCGAGUAGAUGGGAUUACAGGUGCCCACCACCACGCCCAGCUAAUUUUUUUUUUUUUAAUCUUUAGUAGAGAUGGGGUUUCACCAUGUUGGCCAGGCUGGUUUCGAACUCUUGACCUCAUGAUCCACCCGCCUCGGCCUCCCAAAGUGCUGGGAUUACAGGCGUGAGCCACCGCGCCCGACAAUGCAAGGAAAGCCUUUAACACAGAUUACUUUAACAUUUUCUCAUAUGAUACUAACAAUAGUAUAAACUGAUACAGUCCUUUUAAAAAAUAAUUUGGUAAUAAAGAUCAAGGAAUUUGAAAAUAUUCAUGCCUUCUGAAGUAGUAAUUCCAACUCUGAGAAUACAUCCUGAGGUAAUCAUUUAACAUGCAGAAAUAACCUUAUACAUAAAAAUGAGACAUUAUUUAAAAUAGCAUAAGUUAUAACCAAUAUCUAAUCAUAGGUAAACUAAGGUAUAAUAGAUAUGGAAUACUAUGAAAUCAGUAAGUUUCUACUGAGUUUCUUAUAACAGGAUGUUUAUGUUUUAACAUUAUGCUAAAAGAUUUGAAAUUUUAUGUAGUACAGUGUCAACUAUAUAUGAAAUUUAGUAGAAAAAAACGAUAACAUUGGUGGCUUGAUUAUUCAGGAUAAUGUCAUUUUUAUACUUAAAAUAUAUGUUUAAAAAUUCUAUUAAUUUAAGCAAUGCUUUUCCAUUCCGGCAAAAAACAGAAAUGUAUAUUGUUCUGUGCUUUUACUUUAAGGCUAUUGCUAUCUUUUUUUAUAAUAUAUAAUAGGUGGCUGAAUAUUCAAAUUAUAAUACUAGGUAUCUUGCUAAAAAUAACAAGCAUUUAACUCUUGAAAUGUUACAGAGUUAGAAAUAAGUUUCUAGGCUGGGCGCGGCAGCUCACACCUGUAAUCCCAGCACUUUGGGAGGCCGAGGUGGGCGGAUCACAAGGUCAGGAGAUUGAGGCCAUCCUGGCUAACAAAGUGAAACCCCGUCUCUACUAAAAAUACAAAAAAUUAGCCGGGCAUGGUGGCAGGCGCCUGUAGUCCCAGCUACUUGGAAGCCUGAGGCAGGAGAAUGGCGUGAACCCGGGAAGCGGAGCUUGCAGUGAGUGGAGAUCGCACCACUGCACUCCAGCCUGGGCCACAGAGCGAGACUCCGUCUCAAAAAAAAAAAAAAAAAAAAAAGAAAAGUUUCUAUCUGAGGUUACUUUUUCUGCCUCAAAGUGACUGAACCAAAGUAAUCUCCCUGUAGGAUGAGCUUCCUUUGUUAAUCAAUUAACACUGAAAUGGGCACAUACUUGCUCCCAACACCCAAGAGGAAGAAGACAGAAAAGACACAAAGACACACACACAUACACAGCCACACAAUUAGUUCCCUUAAGGUCACUUAAAGGGCAUGGGGGUAAAAAGAAAGGCUGAAAGUAGAAACAUCAAGGAAAGCAGAAAACUCCAUCUCUUUUUAUUUCUAUUGUGCACUGUGUGCAAGGCAAGACUCCAGGUUAUUUUCGGCAGAAAUCUGCUGUUAGCAGUUAACCUGUCUUUUGUUAUAGGAGUGCUGGCUGUGACCCUCAUGAUGGAGAGAAAAGGUAUCAGGUCCUUUCCACCCCUACACUAACUAGUUGAUUUAAAUAGCAACUUCUAAAGUCACCAAACCCAACUAAGGUCAUUAUCACUCAUGGCCCAAUAGUGUUCAGUACUAAAGAUUUUUCGUGUCCCUCCCUAGAAAUUUUUUUCACUUACAUAUGUAAGAAUAGCGUUUUCCAUUGAAAAUGUUCAAAUAAAAAGAUAAUCCAAAACUUUCAGCAACUGACAUUAACAACUCAAAUAUACCAGCAUUGUGCUUCUUCAGCAGCACAUGUACUAAAAUUGGAACGAUACAGAAAUUAGCAUGGUCCCUGCUCAAAAAUGACCUGAAAAUUCAUGAAGCAUUCCACGUUUUAAAAUUAUUAAUUUAUAAAGAAAUAUAUAUGCCAGUGUUACCAAUUCCAGCACCUCAGUAAGGCAAGCAGUAAGCAAAUGAGUUUAUCUGAUGUUUAUUUGUUUUUUUUUUUUAGAGUCAAGGCCUCAAUCUGUUGUCCAGGCUGGAGUACAGUGGCACAAUGAUAGCUCACUGCAGCCUCAGACUCCUGGGCUCAAAAAUCCUCCUGCUUCAGCCUCUGGAGUAGCUGGGACAACAGGCGUGGGCUACCACACCUGGCUAACAAAUGAGUUUAUGUCGGCUAUUCUGUUUUCUGACAUGGAUCAGACACAAGGCCAUCUUGGUUAAGAGGGCAGGGCUUGGGAUGAGACAUCCCAUCACUUAUCAAGUGUGUGACUUCAUGUGAGUUAUUUCUCUUUGGUCCUUGGUUUCCUCAACUAUGAAAUGGAGUUAUGACAGUACCUACAAUCCUGUGUGAGGACUGACUGACUGACUAAUACUUUGGAAAGUCCUUAGACCUGUGUCAGGCACACGAUUUCUACAAUUACAAUGUCAUUGUCAGCAGCACCCUCCCUGGUCUAGUCUGGCCACCACCAACUCUAAGAAGAAGGAAGGAAUGGAUACAGGCAAUGGAGCUGGGGAGAAGAAAUCAGACAUAAUGAACAGUCUGACCCCAUCAUUUGAGACAGACACUGAAGGAAAAAUCUAAAGGCAAGGGAGUGGGGGCAGUUCUUAAAUGCUAUUUGGAUGGAUGUUGGAAUUCUUUUGUUUGUUGAAUGUCCCUCUCAUUACCUCAUUUAUACACCGUAGCUAAAUGCUAAACCACUGAUAUGGAGGUAAAAACAGUCAUCUUGUCCCAUCAGAGGCAACAUGCAGGACUUGUGACUGGAACAAAGACUUGCCUUUGGUGAACACUACAGGAUUGUCCUGUGAGUGUGGCGACCAUUCAAGGUCACCAUGACCAUUGGUCAUGAACAUUCAUGGUCAACAAACUAGGAAGGUAUUCUUUUUGUUUCUUUGGGGUUUUUUUUUGUAGAGACAGAGUCUGGCUCUGUUGCCCAGGCUGGAGUGCAGUGGCAUGAUCUCAGCUCACUGCGACCUCCGCCUCCCAGGUUCAAGCAAUUCUCCUGUCUCAGCCUCCCGAGUAGCUGAGACUACAGGCGCAGGCCGCCACGCCUGGCUAAUUUCUUCUGUAUUUUAGUAGAGAUGGGGUUUCACCUUGUUGCCCAGGUCUCGAACUCCUGAGCUCAGGCAAUCCACCCGCCUCGGCCUUCCAAAGUGCUAGGAUUACAGGCAUAAGCCACGCACCCAGCCCAAACUAGGAAGUUUUUAUUUAUUUAUUGCAUUUCUAAAAAUUUUAAUUGUUGUUGUUGUUUUUAGGUUUUAUUUUUAUUUUUAAAUUGUUAUUAUUUUCUAUUUGUUGCUUUUCUAAAAAUUUUAAUUCUUGGGUUUUUUCCCCCCAUACCUCCCAGAACAAACAAUGAUUCUUUUUUCUCUUCUAUAUUUUAUUAUGAAAAAUGUCAAACAUGCAGAAAGGUUAGCGGUAAAAAGUAUAGUAAACAUCUGUAUAUCUAGUAUCUAGAUUCAAUAAUUGCUAGCAUGCCUGUUUUGCUUUAUUGAUCUGUGCAGAUAUAUUUUUUUGUAAACAUGUGAGCGUAAGUUGCAGACAUUUUGAUACCUUACUCUAAGUACACUGAAAUCCAUCUCUAAAAAGUAAAGAUAUUCUCCUAAAUAAUAAUAUCAUUACCAUACCUAGGAAAAUUCACAAUCAUCUGAGGUUCUGACACUGUUUAGAUGCAAUAGGGCCUAAAGAUAAAAUCUGGUUUGUAUAUUUAACUAGCAGGUAUGCUCUGAAUGAGGUGGAAGAACCAUGACUUGCUCUUCAAUAGCAUCAGUGAGCUUCAGGAGUAAAGUCAGCAGAAAAGCACACACCUUAGGACAGGGUCUUCAAGAAGCACCAUGGCUUUCAAGCUCCUCAAGCUUGUAAAAAAAAUGUUUGUUAAAAAAAAUACACCUAAAAGACUCCUUUGAUUAUUAGGGUUUUUCCUUCCUGAUUUCUUUUUCUAGAUUUUCCUAAUUUUUUACAGUGAACAGAAUAGUGUAAUUAGAAAACAUUUUUUAAAGUAACUUUAAAUUCUAUAACAGCAAUAUAAAUGUUUUUCACUUUCUAAAUCACUGUAAUUAUCAAUAAGGCAAGAAAUACAAAGUUGCAAGAUAAUGUGCCAACAAUCUGCCUCAUGAAAAAGAACCUGAUGGGUUUCUACAGUAUGUGUAUAUUAUAAAGCUUUACACUCUCUAGGAAUAGAUCAUAGAAAAUUGGGUUAAAAUUGUAUUUGUGGUUAUUUCUUUUUUAUUAUUACUUGUUUUUGUUUUAUUUUACUUUUGGUAGACACAGGGUCUCACUAUGCUGCCCAGCUGGUCUCAAAGUCCUGGGUUCAAGUGAUUCACCCACCUCAGCUUCCCAAAGUGUUGGAGUUACAGGCAUAAGCCAUCACUCUCGGCUUCCUGUGGUUAUUUCUAUUAAAGAAUUAGGCAUUUGGUCCUUUGUUAGAAACAUAAUAACCCCAUAUUACAAAUGUUUUUAUGGAAAAACAGAAUCAUCUUAAAUUUAACUUACUAUAUCUUUUCCAGGAACAUAGUCCUCACCAUGAGGAAGUCUCAUGUAAAAUCACAGGGAAUUUAAUGGUUACUUUUUGAAGGAGAUAUCCUGCUUACUAACCAGCAUUCUUCUAGAGUACACGGAUCACUCCUGUUAUGAACUGAUGUAUAAUUAAGAUGGUUACUGUGGCCUGCGUGUUUGUGUCCCCCCCCACCCCCAAUAUCCUACGUUGAAACUCUAACCCCCAAGGUGAUGGUAUUAGGAGGUAGGGCUUUUGGGAAAUAACCUAAUAGGAUUAAUACCCUUACAAAAGAGACCCCAGAGAGCUCACCUGACCCUUCUGCCAUGUGAGAACACCAUGAAAAUGCUGCUGUCUAUGAACCAGGAAACAGACCCUAACCAGACAGUGAAUCUCCCAGCACCUUAAUCCUGAACGUCCCAGCCUCAAGAACUGGGAGAAAUAAAUUUCUGUGAUUUACAAGAUGCUCAGCUUAUGGUAUUUUGAUAUAGCAGCCUGAAUGAACUAAGACAAUGGUUAAUGUUGAACAUUAGAUACUUACCAAUUAGCAUUUAAAAAAGAAAACUGAGGACAACCAAGAAGACACUUACUAGACUGGUGCUCUGAAUGGGCUCCAACACAGCCUUAGCUGUGGCUUCAUCCUGGCCAGCAGUAUUU
rnacentral:lncRNA from 1 species